GGACUUUCUAUUAGCUCAACUCCACCAGCUGUCAGUAGUGUUCUCAGUACAGGUGUACCAACAGUACCGUUAUUGCCACCACAAGUAAACCAGUCCCUCACUUCUGUGCCACCAAUGAAUCCAGCUACUACAUUACCAGGUCUGAUGCCUUUACCAGCAGGACUGCCCAACCUCCCCAACCUCAACCUCAACCUCCCAGCACCACACAUCAUGCCAGGGGUUGGCUUACCA
rnacentral:misc_RNA from 1 species